rnacentral:rRNA from 1 species
AAUGAACGCUGGCGGCGUGCCUAAUACAUGCAAGUCGAGCGAACAGACGAGGAGCUUGCUCCUCUGACGUUAGCGGCGGACGGGUGAGUAACACGUGGAUAACCUACCUAUAAGACUGGGAUAACUUCGGGAAACCGGAGCUAAUACCGGAUAUAUAUUGAACCGCAUGGUUCAAUAGUGAAAGACGGUUUUGCUGUCACUUAUAGAUGGAUCCGCGCCGCAUUAGCUAGUUGGUAAGGUAACGGCUUACCAAGGCAACGAUGCGUAGCCGACCUGAGAGGGUGAUCGGCCACACUGGAACUGAGACACGGUCCAGACUCCUACGGGAGGCAGCAGUAGGGAAUCUUCCGCAAUGGGCGAAAGCUUGACGGAGCAACGCCGCGUGAGUGAUGAAGGUCUUCGGAUCGUAAAACUCUGUUAUUAGGGAAGAACAAAUGUGUAAGUAACUAUGCACGUCUUGACGGUACCUAAUCAGAAAGCCACGGCUAACUACGUG